rnacentral:rRNA from 1 species
UACGUAGGGGGCUAGCGUUGUCCGGAAUCAUUGGGCGUAAAGCGCGUGUAGGCGGCCCGGUAAGUCCGCUGUGAAAGUCGGGGGCUCAACCCUCGAAUGCCGGUGGAUACUGUCGGGCUCGAGUGCGGAAGAGGCGAGUGGAAUUCCUGGUGUAGCGGUGAAAUGCGCAGAUAUCAGGAGGAACACCGAUUGCGAAGGCAGCUCGCUGGGACGUUACUGACGCUGAGACGCGAAAGCGUGGGGAGCAAACAGG